rnacentral:lncRNA from 1 species
AUGCUAAAAUUUCCUCAUAAAACAUUUAACGAUAAAACGGAAGCAAUUAUCAACAACUCAAUAACCCUCCUUAUCCUUCAAAUCCAUCAAUGAGAAAGAGUCACUAACCCCUCUCUUAUAGACAGCCCUAACGGAAAUACAUUUGAUAAGGAUACCGACAAAGUUACGAUAUGCGGAUAUCCCUGGACACGAACACCCUGAAGAAAGAGCAUAGAAGAAUAUAUGUAACAGCGUUCCUGGAGGGAAAACAACAACAGAUGAAAGAAGAAACACAACAUGGGAGUGGCGACGCAUUUUCCGGCGACAGCUGAUAGAGAGACAUCACAGCGGGCAGGUUGGCAGGCCGAAGGGACGAUUUACGCCGACAGAAACCAAUUCUACUACUGAGUUCCAUGAUAUGAAGGAACCCAAAGCAAAUGAGAAUGGAUAGAAAGCAAA